GGUUGCGUUCCAGACGGUGGUAAGUUUACCAUCAAUCUCUACUUGUUGAAACCCUAAGUCUCCGCCGCACUCCAUCCGCCUUAAUCUCCGACGCCACUCCGAAAACGGCUGGAGAGGCUGCAAGAACUGCUGGAGUGGGAGCUUAUUCAAAUAGAUUAGGAGAACCUCCUUGCCAGGUUGAAGUUGGAGAUGUGGUCAGAGGUGACUGAGACAUUAGGGUCUUCAUAUUGGACAACAGGGGUGGCGUGCUUAUGGCUAUAAUGGCGGGGACCGGAGGUUUGAUUCCAGUGUAAAGGAGUAAGCGACGACGACGAUGUAGGCUCAAGUCGGCGGCUGCGUUCCAGAGGGUGGAUUACGGCAGAUGCGUUCCAGGCGGUGGAAGAUACUAAUGAAGGAGACAAUUAUGGGCCACUUUUGGUUCUUAUAGGGAAUUGUAACAUGUAUGAUAAUAAGCUUUGAAGAUAUUUCGUUGAUCUUCAAGGACAUAUGGAACAGGUGAAACACAUACAAAUAUAACUAUGGAAGAAAAGCUGAAAACAUAGAGUCCCGUUUCGAACAAUUACAACAAGAGCGCGAAAAAGAGCGAGCCGAUCAAGCAGCAUGGAAAAAAACUAUGGAAGAAAAGCUGAAAACAUCAUAAAUAAGUAAAAACUCUGGUCUUGUUAAGUAUUGAAAUGUUAAAGAGUUCGGAUUAGUUUUGAAUGCUUGUAAUUUGGAUUUUUUUGUGCGUUUUGGAAUGUUUUAGAAUUUCUAGAAUGUUUGGAAUGUUUCAGAAUGUUGCUUUAAUAUUUUUGGAAGAUUUUAGAAUU
rnacentral:lncRNA from 1 species